GGUUUCUUAGGUAUCUUAAACAUUUGUGCUUAUAUAUAGGGGCACCAAAUAUAUAUAGACACUUUUGAGUCAUAUUAUAUGUAUUUGCAUUCUUGAGAGAAGAUUUUCUUGGUUCUUGAAUUAGAACUCUAAUUCUUAUCAAAGAUUAACAUCUUUGUGAGAGUUUCAUGGAUGAGCUUUGCAAUGUGGUGUAGAGAAUUUGGUGAAAGAGUCUUCCAGUGUCGAUUUUACAACACCAUGUGAUGGAAACUUAUGAUGUGUGAUGAUAUUGAUAAUGCUUUACAUUUAACGGAGGUUUGCGCAGAAGAAUUUGCGACUAGCAGAUACUCAGAAAGCUUCACCAAUAAUGGUAGUGACAAUUAUGAGAGGCAAGAGAAAGAGAGAAUGAAAGUGUAUGAGAAGAGAAAAUAAAAGUGUAAGG
rnacentral:sRNA from 1 species